AAUUUCAGGGAAUGGUAAUGUGUCACUGAUUACAAAGGAAGAUGAAAGAUCAUCAAUAGUUUCAUGACAACAUGCAUGGCAAAUUAAUGAAUCCCAAACGGUAAGAACGUCUCGGGACCCGAACCAACUAUCCUACCAAGUCAAAAUCACGUUCCGGACCUAACGGAAGGACGCGCUUACCCAAAAGUCAACUAUUGGUUAAAGUUUCCUCAAACUCACAACUUAAGAACGUGUCAGCAUUUUGGCGGUUCUUUUCCAACAUUCAACAAUCUCAAACGGCUUAAGUUGAGACUCAAUUACGUGAAGGAUGUUUCUCUACUUACAAUUACUCCAGUUCCAGAGGCAGCUCCACACCUGCAAAAAUUUACAAUCGAGCUUCAUAGGGAUUUUAAGCAUGUCCGAGAAGGAAGCAUUUGUAGGAAGACUGUGAAAUUCCCACUUCAACAUCUCACAGAAGUUCGAUAUAGAGGUUAUUUAGGAGAUAUAAAUGAUGUGGAACUUGCAACUUAUGUUUUUGAAAAUACUUUAACACUUGAGAAAUUCAUUGUUGAUCCUCCCGAGAAGUUCAAAGAUAUAAGAGAAAUUUGUGAAGAGACUCAAAGAGCAAGAGAUCUAGCUAUGCUGCAGCUUCAACCAAAGGUUCCCAAAGGAGUCAAGCUGGUAAUCAUUUAGGAGGCGUUUGAACAUGCGAUUUGAAACUAUGGUUUGAAACCAUAAGAUUAAAUCAGUAUUUGGACAUGCGAUUUCAUCUCAUGAUUUCAUAUCUUGAGAUGAAAUCCCAAAUUAUCUAAAAAGUAAUGAUAUGGGAUUUCAAACAUGUCCUAACGGCAAUUACCCUUUGACAACAGGCUACAAAUGUCAAUUCAGCUUACUGCAGGCUACUGAUGUCAUGUCUCUUCAGUACUGUCCCCUUCUAGGCAAUUCGUAUUAUCUUGAUUUCAUCUUUACUGGCUUCUUCCAAAGUCUUUCUUAAAACAUUUCUUUAGCUUUUAAAUUUUACAUUCAAACUAUCGGCUAUGUUAUGCUUGUGGAUAGGGGUGGUCGUUCGGAUCGUGGGAUUGAUUUGAGAAUUUCGAUUUGGAUUUUUGGUUUUUGGAUUGAAGAAAUUACAAUCCAAUUCCAAUCCAAAUAAGUUUG